UGAACGUUGGAGGCGUGCCCAACACAUGCAAGUCGAACGGGAUCUUCGGAUCUAGUGGCGGACGGGUGAGUAAUACAUAGGUAAUCUGUCUUGAAGAGGGGGAUAACAAUCCGAAAGGAGUGCUAAUACCGCGUAAUGUUGUCUGAUUAAAUUUGGGCAAAGAAAGGAGUAAUCUACUUUAAGAUGAGCCUAUGGUCGAUUAGCUAGUUGGUGUGGUAACGGCAUACCAAGGCGACGAUCGAUAGCUGGUCUGAGAGGACGAUCAGCCACACUGGGACUGAGACACGGCCCAGACUUCUACGGAAGGCAGCAGUGGGGAGUAUUCCGCAAUGGGCGAAAGCCUGACGGAGCGACGCCUCGUGGGUGAAGAAGUCUUUCGGGAUGUAAAGCCCUGUCGGCAGGGAUGAAUAAAGUGACAGUACCUGCAAAGGAAGCAUCGGCUAACUACGUGCCAGCAGCCGCGGUAAUCUGAUGGCGCGAGG
rnacentral:rRNA from 1 species